rnacentral:tRNA from 1 species
GGCUGUAGCUCAAUGGCAGAGCGCUUGCCUAGCAUGUGUGUGGCACUGGGUUCAAUCCUUAGCACCA